GCGGUGCGCCUUAUGCAUGCAAGUCGAGCGAAGCUUUUCAGUAGUUUACUACAGAAAAUGACUGAGCGGCGAACGGGUGAGUAACGCGUGAGCAACCUACCUUAGUUACCGGGAUAGCCCGAGGAAACUCGGAUUAAUACCGGAUAUUCUUAUUUAAUCACAUGAUUUUUUAAGGAAAGGUCAGCCGAACUAAGAUGGGCUCGCGUUCUAUCAGCUAGUUGGUAGGGUAAUGGCCUACCAAGGCUACGACGGAUAGCUGGUCUGAGAGGACGAUCAGCCACACUGGGACUGAGACACGGCCCAGACUCCUACGGGAGGCUGCAGCAGGGAAUAUUGCGCAAUGAGCGAAAGCUUGACGCAGCGACACCGCGUGUGGGAUGACGGAUCUAGGUUUGUAAACCACUUUCAGGAGGGAAGAAAAUGACGGUACCUCCACAAGAAGCCCCGGC
rnacentral:rRNA from 1 species